AAGGAAAAUGAAAGUACAGCAAAGAGAUUCCAUGACCUGUUGCUAAGACACAAUCACAGAAGAGGACAGUGGAGAGCAUCAGGUUAUAAAAAUAUUGAGGUACAUUUGAUAUGAUGCAAUUUGUGAAAUAGCAGAGAUACAAUCUAUUUGUGAAGUAAAAGUGAUUUAUAUUCCUCAUGUAAUGAGGCAUUUC
rnacentral:lncRNA from 1 species